UGUAUGAAGAACGGGUGGCAUUUUGGAGUU
rnacentral:piRNA from 1 species